UACGUAGGGUCCGAGCGUUGUCCGGAAUUAUUGGGCGUAAAGGGCGCGUAGGCGGCUUUGCAAGUGACGGGUGAAAGCCCUCGGCUUAACCGAGGAACUGCCUGUCAGACUGUAAGGCUUGAGACCGGGAGAGGUGAGUGGAAUUCCCAGUGUAGCGGUGAAAUGCGUAGAUAUUGGGAGGAACACCAGUGGCGAAGGCGGCUCACUGGACCGGAACUGACGCUGAGGCGCGAAAGCGUGGGGAGCAAACAGG
rnacentral:rRNA from 1 species